rnacentral:rRNA from 1 species
UACGGAGGAUCCGAGCGUUAUCCGGAUUUAUUGGGUUUAAAGGGUGCGCAGGCGGGAGAUUAAGUCGGCGGUGAAAUUUUGCAGCUCAACUGUAAAAGUGCCCUCGAAACUGGUUUCCUCGAGUGUAGAUGAAGUAGGCGGAAUUUGUGGUGUAGCGGUGAAAUGCAUAGAUAUCACGAGGAACUCCGAUUGCGCAGGCAGCUUACUAAACCACUACUGACGCUCAUGCACGAAGGCGUGGGGAUCAAACAGGAUUAGAUACCCCGGUAGU